GGUUGGGUGUGAUUAGCAGCAUCCAAAGGGCCCCUGAGAAGUCCUAGUCCCCUGGUAUUCAUGUUUCUAGGGAAGGAACUUCUUUCUCUUGAAUGUGGCUUGGACUUGAUGACCAACUUCUUAAAAAUAAGGAAGCAGCCGACAUGUGACCAGCCAUAUGGAGAGAUGCACAAUAGCCAAGACCUGAUGUCCCCAGCCAAUAGACAGAUUGGACUCAAGGCCUGCCAACAGCCACGGAAGUAUGCUUGGAAUGGAAUCUUCCCCUUCUGAGAACCUUGAGAUGCAGCCUGACAAACAGCUCCAUCAUUCAACCUUGUGCAAGACCUGAGCCACAGGCAUCCAGCUAAACCAUACCCAGAUUCCUGAGGAAUUUGUGAGAUAAUAAAUGCUGUUUUGAGGAACCACAGAAGACUGCUCUGUCCAGAAGCAUAAGUAACAAGCCAGAAAAGUCAGAAAAAUUAACAAUUCCUAGGACCAGUGCUCAACCCAUAACUCUCUGGAGUGAAUGUAAUUCCAAGGAUUCAACUGUCCCUGUGUUCCUGAUUACAAUUCCACGAAAAUCUCAUCAUUCUGACUGCAAUCUGUGAUAAUAAUAACAACUGCUAUUUACUGAAUGCUUUUUGUGGGCAAGAAACUGUGUUAAGUGACUUACUGUUUUUCUUAAUUAUGCUGCAAGAGUCAUCCCUCCACCCCCACCCCACAACAUGGCAGUCUGCUCUUGUGGUCUGAGGGGUGUUUGACAGCAUGUAAGUGAGAGGAAUUCAGUGAACUUAAAGGCUCUUGGGAAGCCCCAGUGACAAAUAUGUAAAUAGACAUAGAGUGACUCCUUAAUUGUACAUCCAGAGCUCAUGGUACUCUAGCUUUAAUCUGUCCACCAAAGCUAAAAAUCUCACACUGUCAAAUAUAGAUCUUCUUCUCCUCCUUGUUCUUCACAAAUUUCACCAUCCAUGCCUCCACUCAUAUUCUUAUUCCUUUCCAAUCACCUUACUGCUUUUGCCCAUUUUUCUAUAUCCUGCUCAUUUUUCAAAGCUUGCUUUAAGAUAUCAUAUCUGAACAUCAUUCUCUGAUAGCCCAUUACUGAGAGAAAUUUCCUGGAAUUUCUCUGGAUUUAGGAGGUAUAACUUGCAAAAAUAACUUCGUAUUUACUGUGAGUCCAAGUUUGGGUCUAAGUGUGAGGUCUGAGAACUUGUGUCAAUAUCAUUUGCGUAAGAUUUUUUGGUCGCCUAUGUCAACAUGACUUAGAAAUUUUUUCCAGGAAAAUUUUGCCUGGGAAAGAUAAAGCUGUAAACUAAUAAAUAACUUCAAUGUUUGCUUAAAGAAAUUCCUACAGAUCAAUUUAUCACGGACAACAGUCUCCUCACCUCAGCAAACAGCUUGCUUAGCAAACAAAAAGGUGCCUAUCAACACAUGCUUCAAGGGUUGCCUGAUUGACAACCAGUUAUGAAAUAUUAUAGCAUAAAUUGUGUCCAGUUCUAGCCAGUUACCCACCUUGCAAGGCCCAGCUUAUACCACUUGAGCCCGGACCCCAGACCCAAGAGCCUCAGAGUGCUACAAAUAUCCUACUUCUGACUUUCCCUUCUGAGUUGCUUCUGAAAUCCUACCAAGGAGUUCUCUCCAACUACAAUAAAUUCAAAUAAGCUUAGUUUUGCUUUAUUAGCAGAUUUGUGAUGAUAUUUUGAGGAAGGCAACACUGGAAUUGUACGUAUUGGAGUAUAUAUGACAAACUGAGAAGGGCUGUAUACCAGAAGCCCACGUGAAUGAAGACCAAGAAACUUUUCCUUAGAAUUUAUAAAGAAAGAAGGAGUUUUGAAUGACAUAUAAACACAGUAAUGAAUUCUUCAUCAGUGGAGAAGAAUAAGUCCAACUCUCUGAGAUGAUUCCCCCAGCCCAUGAGAAUCAUUCCCCAGCCUUUGUCCCAGGAGAGAAGAAUACUUUUAGAUGAUAUGAGGAUGUGCAAAUAGAACAAAAGAGGUUGAAAAAUAGCACUGUUCCAGAGAUCCAUACAUAUCCUCUCCUCAUUCAAAAAUGUGAAAUGAAAAAUAUUUUCUUGCUGCAUCUCGGGUGGAUCCGGGAUAGACCUACUAAAACGUAUGGAGGCAGCCAGCUUCAGAAGAGAAGGGAUAAAAACUGUUUCCCAUGGCACAAGAGGUGGCCCUGAUGGGGGGACCUGAGAAGGCCUCGUGGACAGUGCAGAGGGGUGAUCUGCGGGUGCUGGCAGCUGGAGACUGAUGGGAAAAGCCACAUCUCCAUGGGCAUCAGAGUAGAUGACAACCUCAGGCCAAAUAUCCCCUUCUCAAAACUGUCACUGCUGUGCACACAUGUACCCUAUAGAAAGGAGUUGCAAAGCUCAGUAAAAAAGAAAAAAAAGGGGGGGGGAGUGAGUGGAACCGAACACUUAACCGUGACUACACUGAAUUGACUAAAUUUAAGUUUCUGUUACUAGGUGCCAUGGGAGUCAAUUGGACAUUGAUUUCCACUAUAGAAUAUUAAAACUACCGAAAAAUAACUUUACAUUUCUUGUAAACUUAAAUGUAUGGCUUUGAAUUUAGUACCUAUAGAAGAAGGAAGGAAAAAAAAAACAUGACUGAAGGGCUGCUUAUUCAAAGCUCUGUCAGCAGGUCAGUUUGAGAAAUUCUCAAGUGGACUAUAAUCCUUGUGCAUCUGCAGGGAAAUGUCAUCCAACUGGGGCAUCUGUAGGUGUCCAGCCCUGCCACUAUGCUGGGCAGCUGCCUGUGGAAGUCUCCCAGUAACUGAGAGUGGGUGGAAGAUGUUUAACAGAGGUGGAAUUGUUUGUGAGCUCAUAGAAGACAAGAGAAGACAGCCUUGGAAGACACUCAGAGUGGAUAGAAAAGGGGAGAGGUGGAAUUUGGAGUCACUCUAUGAAUCACUAAAGGCAUAAGCCAGAUCUGUCUGCUUACUAUCACUGUGACCCUUGUCCAAUCUAAAAAUGUGAAGCUUGGGGAAAUCUGAGUUAAUAGUAUGUCUUCUCUGAAAAUUGUGAUAGCCAUACAGUGGAGUUCUACUCAGGAAGAGAAAACGAAAAAGUUGGGAUGCCGGAGUGGCUCAGUGGUUGAGCAUCUGCCUUCGGCUCAGGGGGUGGUCCUGGGGUCCUAGGGUUGAGUCCCGCAUGGGGCUCCCAGCAGGGAGUCGUCUUCUCCCUCUGCCUAUGUCUCUGCGUCUCUCUCUGUGUCUCUCAUGAAUAGAUAAAUAAAAUCUUAAAAAAGGGGAGAAAGUUAUUAAAAUGUGAAAUAGCAUGGCUGGAUUUCAAAAUUCUAUCCUGAGUGAAAGAAGCUAGACUGUCUCCCCCUAUCCCACAAAAAAGAGAAGACUGUAUGAGUCUAUCUAUAUAAAAUCCUUAAACAUGCAAACUAAUCUAUAUAAAUUCCAGAGAAUGCAAAUGAAGUAGAUUCUUGACUGCCUAGGGGGAAUGAAGGGAGGGAUAGAUUACAAAGAGCAUGAGGAAAGCUUUAGGGGUGACACAUAUGUAUAUACCUGGGAAUAUAUGUAUCACAUAUAUGUGAUAUAUGUGUCAAAAUGUAUCAAAUUUUACACAUUAGACAUUUGUAAUUUGUUAUGCACUUUCAUCAUCAAUAAAGUUCUUUAAAAUUUAUGUUUUUGCACUUCGAUUGUCCUUAGAGCUCAGUACCCAUUUACUAUUUUUUACUGUUUAUGUACUCCCAUCGUAUGUGGCCCCUGAGACAAAGAUUUGGUGUGAUAUUUGAACCCUUACUAUGUUAAAAGAAGAAUUAUGGGUGUUGCUUCAGAAGGUCUUUGUUUAUUGAUCAGAUAAAAAACUGGAAGUAGUCUUUCAAUUUUGAUUCUGUCUACUUAAAGAAAAGAAAGAUAGCAAUAAUAACAGACAAUAAGUUGAAGGCUUGGCAUGAGUAACCAGGAGGGCAAUCCUGCCCAACGAGGUGAAGAGGUGGGGAAGCAGGCACAUAGCAUACCCGGAAAGGCUUCGAUGGGGACCUUCUGGUCUGGGGAAUGUUUAGGACAAGGUUAUGCUGAAAGGGCAAAUGUCAAGAGAACACUUCUUAAAAUAAAUAUUCAAAUCUCAGGCAUUGUU